rnacentral:rRNA from 1 species
AUUGAACGCUGGCGGCAUGCCUUACACAUGCAAGUCGAACGGUAACGCGGGGCAACCUGGCGACGAGUGGCGAACGGGUGAGUAAAGCAUCGGAACGUGCCCAGUAGUGGGGGAUAGCCCGGCGAAAGCCGGAUUAAUACCGCAUACGACCUAAGGGUGAAAGGGGGGGAUCGCAAGACCUCUCGCUAUUGGAGCGGCAGAUGCCAGAUUAGUGAGUUGGUGGGGUAAAAGCUCACCAAGGCGACGAUCUGUAGCUGGUCUGAGAGGACGACCAGCCACACUGGGACUGAGACACGGCCCAGACUCCUACGGGAGGCAGCAGUGGGGAAUUUUGGACAAUGGACGAAAGUCUGAUCCAGCCAUGCCGCGUGCGGGAAGAAGGCCUUCGGGUUGUAAACCGCUUUUGUCAGGGAAGAAAUCCUUUGAGCUAAUACCUCGGGGGGAUGACGGUAUCUGAAGAAUAAGCACCGGCUAACUACGUGCCAGCCGCCGCGGUAA